GGGGGUGACUGGCUUCGACAGGAAAUUCAGUGUGCUUGUGUGCGAGGCGGAAGUGAGAUCCUUCCAUAAAAAUCUCAAAUUCUAAGUGCAAACAAAACUGCACGUGGAGUUCUUUCACCGAUUCAGAUGAAAGACCUUCAGUUCGCUUACGCGUUAGCCUAAGCGACCACGCUUCUCUCGACAUCCGAUACGGAAGCUAGCGUGUCAUAUCUUCGGGUUCGGUCUUCCCUUCACUCCGAGGAGAGACCUAAAGAAAGAGAGUCCGGCAUAGUGCGAUCUCGAAUGUUCUCUACGCACUACGCUCAAAUCAAACGAACAUCCUACGCCUUGUAGAAUCAUCUGCAUGCCAUUUUCUGGACCCGGGUUCGAUUCCCGGCACUUCCACCC
rfam:Candidatus Kaiserbacteria bacterium RIFCSPHIGHO2_02_FTLL_54_11b rifcsphigho2_02_scaffold_12952, whole genome shotgun sequence.